rnacentral:tRNA from 1 species
AUUUUUGUAGUUGAUUACAACGGUGGUUUUUCGGACCGCAGGUCUCGAAAGAGCAAGAAUA